AGAGUUUGAUCCUGGCUCAGAACGAACGCUGGCGGCAGGCUUAACACAUGCAAGUCGAGCGCCCGCAAGGGGAGCGGCAGACGGGUGAGUAACGCGUGGGAAUCUACCGUGCCCUACGGAAUAGCUCCGGGAAACUGGAAUUAAUACCGUAUACGCCCUACGGGGGAAAGAUUUAUCGGGGUAUGAUGAGCCCGCGUUGGAUUAGCUAGUUGGUGGGGUAAAGGCCUACCAAGGCGACGAUCCAUAGCUGGUCUGAGAGGAUGAUCAGCCACAUUGGGACUGAGACACGGCCCAAACUCCUACGGGAGGCAGCAGUGGGGAAUAUUGGACAAUGGGCGCAAGCCUGAUCCAGCCAUGCCGCGUGAGUGAUGAAGGUCUUAGGAUUGUAAAGCUCUUUCACCGGUGAAGAUAAUGACGGUAACCGGAGAAGAAGCCCCGGCUAACUUCGUG
rnacentral:rRNA from 1 species